AGGAUGUCAGUGCUUCCCUCUCCAAGAAAUAUCCUGAGCUAUACAAGGAAGGAAUAAGAAAUACUUUCUUCAGAUGGAGAGUUGUCGUCAUCUGGGCUUUCUUUGCAAUAUAUCAAUCAUUGGUCUUGUAUUAUUUUGUAAUUGAUUCGAGUACAAAGGGCAUGAAUUCAUCAGGGAAGAUAUUUGGCCUGUGGGAUGUCAGUACAAUGGCUUUCACUUGUGUUGUUGUAACUGUCAAUUUGCGUCUGCUUAUGAUGUGUGACACAAUUACAAGAUGGCACCACAUCACUGUUGGAGGGAGCAUAUUAUUGUGGUUCAUAUUUGUCUUUAUUUAUUCGGGUAUUUCCUUGCCAAAAGAACAGAAGAAUAUCUAUUUGGUCAUCUAUGCCUUAAUGAGCACAUUUUAUUUCUAUCUCGUUCUGCUCCUUGUACCUGUUGCUGCUCUUUUUGGUGACUUCAUUUAUCAGGGGGUUCAAAGAUGGUUUUUCCCUUAUGAUUAUCAGAUCGUUCAGGAAAUUCAUAGGCAUGAGAUUGACAGUAGGAUGGGGUUACUAGCGAUUGGAAAUGAUCUUACACCUGAAGAAGCAAGGAGUUACGCAAUCAGACAACUGCCCGGCCAGAAAUCAAAACACACUGGUUUUGCCUUUGAUUCACCUGGUUACGAGUCAUUUUUUGCAUCUCAGGCUGGUGUCUCGAUCCCCCAAAAGGCAUGGGAUGUAGCUAGGAGAGCAAGUAUGAAACCACAGUCAAAGCUAGCUCGAGAAAACUAACUUCCAGAUAGUACAUAUUUUCCUCCCUGAACAGUAAUGUACUUUUUUGACCCAAAACAAUUUAGCUUAUAGGUAGAAUUAGAUAUGUAAUAUCUUGUCAUCUAGUUUUAUUCUUUCACACACCUUACUGGCCCUUGUGAUUUUUUGGAAUAUAGUCACAAUUAGGUUUAGUGAGCU
rnacentral:misc_RNA from 1 species